UCCUACGGGAGGCAGCAGUGGGGAAUAUUGGACAAUGGGGGCAACCCUGAUCCAGCGACACCGCGUGAGCGAAGAAGACCUUUGGGGUGUAAAGCUCUGUCAACAGGAACGAAACAAAUGACGGUACCUGUGGAGGAAGCAUCGGCUAACUACGUGCCAGCAGCCGCGGUAAGACGUAGGAUGCAAGCGUUGUCCGGAUUUAUUGGGCGUAAAGAGUUCGUAGGCGGUUUGUUAAGUCUGAUGUUAAAGACCGGGGCUCAACCUCGGAAAUGCAUUGGAUACUGGCAGACUGGAGUGCAGUAGAGGCUAGUGGAAUUCCCAGUGUAGCGGUGAAAUGCGUAGAUAUUGGGAAGAACACCGGUGGCGUAGGCGACUAGCUGGGCUGUAACUGACGCUGAGGAACGAAAGCCAGGGGAGCGAAUGGGAUUAGAUACCCCGGUAGUCAUG
rnacentral:rRNA from 1 species